UCCUACGGGAGGCAGCAGUGGGGAAUAUUGCACAAUGGGCGCAAGCCUGAUGCAGCAACGCCGCGUGAGGGACGAAGGCCUUCGGGUUGUAAGCCUCUUUUAGUAGGGAAGAAGCGACUGGGUUUUCCUGGGAGUGACGGUACCUGCAGAAAAAGCACCGGCUAACUACGUGCCAGCAGCCGCGGUAAUACGUAGGGUGCAAGCGUUGUCCGGAAUUAUUGGGCGUAAAGAGCUCGUAGGCGGUUUGUCGCGUCUGCUGUGAAAACCCGAGGCUCAACCUCGGGCCUGCAGUGGGUACGGGCAGACUAGAGUGCGGUAGGGGAGAUUGGAAUUCCUGGUGUAGCGGUGGAAUGCGCAGAUAUCAGGAGGAACACCAAUGGCGAAGGCAGAUCUCUGGGCCGUAACUGACGCUGAGGAGCGAAAGCAUGGGGAGCGAACAGGAUUAGAUACCCUGGUAGUCCAUGCCGUAAACGUUGGGAACUAGAUGUGGGGACCAUUCCACGGUCUCCGUGUCGCAGCUAACGCAUUAAGUUCCCCGCCUGGGGAGUACGGCCGCAAGGCUAAAACUCAAAGGAAUUGACGGGGGCCCGCACAAGCGGCAGAGCAUGCGGAUUAAUUCGAUGCAACGCGAAGAACCUUACCAAGGCUUGACAUAUACCGGAAACGGCUGGAAACAGUCGCCCCGCAAGGUCGGUAUACAGGUGGUGCAUGGUUGUCGUCAGCUUGUGUCGUGAGAUGUUGGGUUAAGUCCCGCAACGAGCGCAACCCUCGUCCUAUGUUGCCAGCACGUAAUGGUGGGAACUCAUGGGAUACUGCCGGGGUCAACUCGGAGGAAGGUGGGGAUGACGUCAAAUCAUCAUGCCCCUUAUGUCUUGGGCUUCACGCAUGCUACAAUGGCCGGUACAAAGGGCUGCGAUACCGCAAGGUGGAGCGAAUCCCAAAAAGCCGGUCUCAGUUCGGAUUGAGGUCUGCAACUCGACCUCAUGAAGUCGGAGUCGCUAGUAAUCGCAGAUCAGCAACGCUGCGGUGAAUACGUUCCCGGGCCUUGUACACACCGCC
rnacentral:rRNA from 1 species